rnacentral:rRNA from 1 species
UACGAAGGGGGCUAGCGUUGUUCGGAAUUACUGGGCGUAAAGGGCGCGUAGGCGGCCGUUCAAGUCGGGGGUGAAAGCCUGUGGCUCAACCACAGAAUGGCCCUCGAUACUGGAUGGCUCGAGACCGGAAGAGGUUGGUGGAACUGCGAGUGUAGAGGUGAAAUUCGUAGAUAUUCGCAAGAACACCAGUGGCGAAGGCGGCCAACUGGUCCGGUUCUGACGCUGAGGCGCGAAAGCGUGGGGAGCAAACAGG